CUCAUUUUCUCUUGCUGCCGCCAUGAUUCUGAGGCCUCCCCAGCCAUGUGGAACUGCAAUACUUUAAAGACACAAAGUCUCAACAACCAUCUUCCGCUUGACGAGACAGAUCAUUCUAAUUUGAGCAGAAGCUACUAUGUCCUGCCCUUUGAACGCGGCGGCCCGGAAAGCUGACAAGGACACACUGUGUAUUUCCAUUCCAAUUCUGGGAGUGCUCUGAGGCCUCUGGGGGAGAAGGACCCAUGAAAUAUUCAAAACAUAAGUGAAUAAAAUAUCUAGGUGCUAGAUAUGGGCCAGGAAGAGCCCUUGGCCCUGCAAAGUGUGUGUGAUGGUGAGAAGCUACCAGAAGAGAUGGUCCCUGUUCUUGGUUCAUUCCUUGGACAUUUAUCAAGCUGACGAAUGUAGCAGAGGUGCUUCAGUCGGCUGUAAUUCCACAGGUGGAGUGCUGGCUGGAGAGUUACCUGGGGCUGUCACACUGCAUGGGCUCCGGGACACUGUGGCUGCCCUUAUGUGGUGUCCCCAGAGGGCCCUGCAGGUGUCACACCGCUGCUCCACACUGCCACCUGCUGUCAGCACCUGUGCAACGUAUCCAGGUCUCUGGGGGCUAGAAUGAAAAACAUGCAUCUCGUAACCAAUGAAAUCAGGCUUGUCCUGAAGACCUCGUGCAUUCAUCCAUUCUCACACUGCUAUAAAGACAUACCUAAGACUGGGCACUUCAUGAAGAAAAGAGGUUUAAUUGGCUCACAGUUCUGCAGGCUUUACAGGAAGCAUAGCAGCUUCCACUUCUAGGGAGGCCUCAGGAAACUUAUAGUCAUGGUGGAAGGUGAAGGCGGGACAAGGCGUCUCACAUGGUGGGAGCAGUAGAGAGAGAAAAAGAGGGGGUGCCGCACACUUUGAAACAACCAGAUCUAACGAUAACUUACUAUCAUGAGAACAGCACCAAGAAGCUGGCGCUAACCCACUUGUGAAGGACCACCACCAUGAUCCAAUCCCUUCCCACCAGGUCCCACUUCCAAUGUUGGGGAUUACACUUCACGGUGAGAUUUGUGCAGAGAGGACACAGGUCCAAACCAUAUCACCUGCUGUCUUUUUAUUUAUUUAUUUAUUUAUUUAUUUAUUUAUUAAGACAGAGUUGCUUCGUCACCCAGGCUGGAGUGCAGUGGCGCGAUCUCGGCUCACUGCAAGCUCCGCCUCCCAGGUUCGCACCAUUCUCCUGCCUCAGCCUCCCGAGUAGCUGGGACUACAGGCGCCUGCCACCACACCCAGCUAAUUUUUUGUAUUUUUAGUAGAGACGGGGUUUCACCAUGUUAGCCAGGAUGGUCUCCAUCUCCUGACCUCGUGAUCCGCCCGCCUCGGCCUUCCAAAGUGCUGGGAUUACAGACAUGAGCCACUGCGCCUGGCCUAUUGAUUUAUUUUUGAGAUGGGGUUUCGCUCUUGUGGCCCAGGCUGGAGUGCAAUGGCACGAUCUCGGCUCACUGUAACCUCCGCCUCCCAAGUUCAAGUGAUUCUCCUGUCUCAGUCUCCCAAGUAGCUGGGAUUACAGGCAUGCGCCACCAUGCCCAGCUAAUUUUGUAUUUUUAGUAGAGACGGGGUUUCUCCAUGUUGGUCAGGCUGGUCUUGAGCUCCCGACCUUAGGUGAUCCGCCCGCCUCAGCCUCCCAAAGUGCUGGGAUUACAGGUUUGAGCCACUGUGCCUUGCCCACCUGCUGUCUUUUUGCAUCUUCCAAGUAGACAUCAAAGAUUGGUUUGCUAUCAGUGUCACUUCUAUAAUCCAUGGUUCUAUAUGAAGAAAACAAAAUCCCAAUUGGGGAAAAUGAACCCACGGCAUUUUGUUUCUUACCCUGGAGCCGUUUCUGGCAGUUUGCCAGCAAGUACACAGACCCACAGGACAAGCUUGGUUCAUGGCCUGGAGUGCUGGUCUUGCUCAUGGACACGCAAUCAGAAGCAGUAUUUUGAUACAAACCCCUGUGCUCAUGGCAAGGAGCUGCGUGGGCUUUCAGGGUGGAACCAGGGCUUCAGGGAACCCCUUCAUCCCGACAGGCAUCACCCAGAGCACACCCAGAGCAGCCUGCAGCGGCGUGGAAGAGGCUUGCACUGGCCCCAAGGUGCAGGGGAGCCCUGCCUGCCUGUCUCCUGCUAGGCUUGCCUGGGCUCCCGCCUACAGACCAUGAGAAUUCCUCUAGCAUGGGGAGAGUCUGACCAAAGUGACAACAGCCAUCCCCUGACUGCCCAGCACUGUUCACUUCUUCCCAGAUACUCCUACCAGACCAGGUCAGCCCUUCUUUUACUGGGGGGCCAGAAAGAUCCCCCCAAUCCAGUCCAGGACUCCAGAUGAUGCCCAUUUCUCUGCCAGUCCCAGCAAUCUCCCUUCUCAGCAUCUGGCAUCCUGGGAUGUACCCUAAAGUUCACUGGCUCAGAGCACCCUAACUAUGGCUGCGGCGAGCGGGGGAGGGUGGGAUCAGGUCGGCGUGCUGCACAUGGGUCCUGGGGUGGGAACAGUAUUCUGGCUAUGCUCCUGCAGCUGGGCCCUCACAAGGGGGGCAGCGUCUGCACCCUCUCAAGGCUUUGCAGAUAAGGGUUUAUUGAAGAGGGAGGUGACCCACACCAUCCCCACUGAGGGAUCUGGUUAGGGGGCUCCCCCCAGAAUGUAGGCAAGAGGGCAGCAUCUUGAUAGUGAGGGUUGGUCACCCGGGAACCACAGUAACGUCCGCAGGGACCUUCCCCCAGUGGCACACACUUCCCAGAAUGCUCACAGUCACCCUCAGCUUUCAACUGUGGGGACCUAACGCGUCUCCUGGUAGAGUCCUCACUCCCUUGGCUAAAACUUCUGAAAGCAGCGAGGCUGGGCUCCCUGGCUAGGAUGGCUCUGGCCCUGAGCAGGUCAUUUGCGUCAAGUUUCACCACCCGGCACCCUGUGCUUUCCCCAGCUGGCUGCACGCUGGGCCUCCGGGAAGCCGGCAAGCCCACCUGAUUCUGAAUCCUCCCCUCGAGCCCGGGGGUCAGAAUUGCUGUGUGGGAGAUUCUGCUGUCAUGAAAGAAGCUGCCAGAAGCCCACAGCAGGGCAGUUAGGCAGGGAAUGCGAGUCCGUGUCCAGAGCAAGGGUGACUCCAGCCCCUCCAGGACGGAGAAGCCAGUGAGACCCACUGUCCCAGGCCCCCAUGGCCCUGGCUGCUCCUGGCGGACAGAGGGGCAUGUUGCUCACGCUAUGCCUUGUUCCCUCUGGGCUGCCAUGGCCCCUGGAACAAUUCCUGGGACAGCCUGGGGAGGAGGCUGACAAUCAUGCAAGGUGGAUGGAGCUUGGCCCCUCCCAGUCACCUAUGUGUUCCUUCCUCCGACUCCCGUGGGGCUGGAGUCAUGAUUUUGCUCCCCAUCCCAUCUGUAGGCCGCCCCUGCCUGGAUGAGACCACCCUGACACUCACCCGCCUCCCUCCAGGAGGACCCCAGCUCCACUUUCUCCAGGGCCACCUGUGAUGCACCAGGAUCCAUCCUGUAAUCCCAGUUACUUGGGAGGCUGAGACAGGAGAAUCACUUGAACCUGGGAGGUGAGAGGCAGAGGUUGCAGUAAGCCAAGAUUGGACCACUGCACUCCAGCCUUGGCAACAGAGAGAGACUUCGUUUCAAAAAAAAAAACCUAUGCAAAUCCCAAUUACACACGCUGAGUGGCAUGUUCAGCUGAGCCACCUGCCCAAGGCGGGAACCUCUCUUCCUCCGUCUGCAGGUCACAUGGAGAUGGCAGAGCACCUGCACGUGCACCUGGAGACCCGCUCAAGCCUCGUCUCCUGACACUGCCUCCUCCUGACAUUGGAGGCUGCUGGGAGUGCCAGCCUGUAACCCUCGUUGUGAUGGCACCUGCCUGGUGCUAUAAUUCAGACAUUUGUCUCCCCAACCUCGUGUUGAAAUUUGAACCCCAAUGUUGGAGGUGGGACCUGACAGAAGGUGACUAGGACAUGAGAGCUUGGUGCUGUCCUCGCGGUCAUGAAUGCAUUCAUGCUUUAUUCCUUCUUACAAGAACUGAUUGUUAAAAAUGCUUGGCACCUCCUCUGCCCACUCUCUCUUGCUCCCUUUCUCACCAUAUGGUCUGCAUGCACCUGCUCCCAUUGCCUUCUGCCAUGAGUGGACACUUCCUGAGGCCUCACCAGAAGCAGAUGCUGGCACCAUGCUUCUUGUACAGCCUGCAGAACUGUGUGCCAAAUAAACCUCUUUUCUUUAUAAAUCACCCAACCUCCCAACACAAUCGUCCAAGACACCUGGUAUCCCCCAAACAGCUCCUUGGUCAACCUCAGAUUCAGGACCAAUCUGAGAGCUGUUUCCGUGAAGGGAGGAGAGGAGAGUUGUUAGCUGAAGAGGACAUGGGUUUGCUCAAGAUCCCUGCAUUCUCCACUAUGGCUCUCUGAUUCUCCUCUCUGAGCUUGUGGCAGACACGGCAGAUACCUCAAGCAUGGCUGGGCAGCAGAUGCUGGCUGAGAGGAAGUGGCUGAGCCCAACUUGUCCCUCCUCAGACCCCAGAAUUGCCAAGACCAGAGUCCUCCAUAAAGACCUCACAAACAGGCAAUCACUGCAUGCUUUUCCACAAUUAAAUAUGUGCACAUCUUAAGGAAAGGACCUAACAUCCUUCAGCAGUAUCUCCUUCCAGGGCAGGGAGUGACUGCGUCAGCAGCCUCAAGUACCUGGAAACUGUCCACAUCAGGCAAAGUGGUGGGAGAGACACAGAUGUUUCCACCAGCAUUUAAAAGAGAGGAAAGAAAAUUAUUGACAAGAAGCCUCCAUGGUGGAUCAGGCUUCAACGUUUUGAUGGACCUGACCUCUCUUGGAAGCAAAUCCCUGGAUGGAGCCCAUGUCUCUUUGGGCCCCCAAAGGCAGCCUGACCUUGACACGGAGUGCAAAGCAGACUCAGCUGCUUGUGUUUAAUGGGGAUUCGCAUAGUUGGUUUUUGUUUUUGUUUUUGUUUUUUUGAGAUGGAGUCUUGAUGUGUUGCCUAGGCUGGAAUGCAGUAGCAUGAUCUCUGCUCACUGCCUGCAACCUCUGCCUCCCCAGUUCAAGUGAUUCUCUUGCUUCAGCCUCCCGACUAGCUGGGAUCACAGACAUGUGCCACCAUGCCCUGCUAAUUUUUGUAUUUUUAGUGGAGAUGGGGUUUCACCAUGUUGGCCAGGCAGGUCUCGAACUCCUGACCUCAAGUGAUCCUCCCACCGCGGCCUCGAACAAUGCUGGGAAAACAGGUGUGAGCCACCAUACCCAGCUGGGAUUUCUGUAGUUUUGUCCGUGCUGUUACAUGGUGCACUGGGCAGAGCCAGCCAGUCCUGCCUCGAGCCCUGUUACUUUGGUCUCUGAUGCAGAUGUUGUGUGGCAGUGGAACGGCCUCAUCAGCCCCACCUGGGACCUGGCAGGGGAUGGGUCUGAGCAGCCCUAGAGGAGGGUCCCCAGGGCCCACAUCGAGGGUGACAUGACCCACACCAUCCCCACUGAGGGGACCCACACAGUGACCCUCCUCCCACACCCCCUCCCUAGCUGGCCACUUGGACCAGAGAGACGUUGGGGAGGAGGCAGAGUGACAUUAUCAAAGUGCCCUCUCGGAAAUGUCGCCUUCAUCCACCAUCCUCUUUUAACCCACUGGGCUUGGUCAGGAAGCCAUCGGUCAGCAGGGGGCAGGUGUGGUUGGGGGGCACCCUUAUGUCCUGUGAGACCCUAGCAGGCACUCCAGCUUGGGAUUUCCAGAGGCUCUGAGGUGGCUAAGAACAGGAUGACAAAUCAACUCCAAGGUUCAACUCUUCCCCCCAUGGACACUCCUCCCUAUGCUGUUCUCAUCUCAAAUUUUACCUGUUUUUCUCAAAGUAGCUCACCAGAGGUUGGAAAUGAGAUCAAAGGUCAGCGUGGAUCUCAACAUUAUUAUUCAUCAGGGAAAUGCAAAUCACACCAGAGAUGAGACGCCACGACACUCACACUAGCAGGGCUAAAAUUUAAGAGUCUAGCUGGGGCUGGGCAUGGUGGCUCAUGCCUGUGAUCCCAGCACUUUGGGAGGCCAAGGCAGGAGGAUUGCUUGAAGCCCAGGAGCUCAAGACCAGCCCCGGCACCAAAGCAAAACUGUACCUCUACAAGAAUUUUUUUUUUUAAUUGGCUAGAUGUGGUACACAUGCCUGUGGUCACAGCUACUUGGGAGGCUGAGGAGGGAGGAUCACUUGAGUCCACGAGUUCGAGGCUUGGUGAACUGUGAUCAUGCCACUGCACUCCAGUCUGGGCAACAGAGUGGGACCUCAUCUCUUAAAAAUAAAGAAAAGGAAAGGAGUGGAAAGGAGAGGAGAGGAAGAAACUUGAUAUUUCAAUUAUUUUAAAUUUGUUGAGACUUGUUUUGUGGCCUAACAUAUGGUCUAUCCUGGAGAAUGUUCCAUGUGCUGAGGAAAAGAAUGUAUAUUCUGUGCAGCUGUUGGAUGAAAUGGUUUGUAAAUGUCUGUUAGGUCCAUUUGGUCUAAACCAUAGUUUAAAUCCAAUGCUUAUUUGUUAAUUUUCUAUCGGAUGAUAUGUCAAAGGCUGACAGUGUGAUGUUGAAGACCCCAACUGUUACUAUAUUAGAGUCUCUCUCUUUAGAUCUAAUAAUAUUCACUUUAUAUAUCUGGAUGAUUUGGUGUUGGGUGCAUAUAUAUUUACAAUUGUUGUAUCUUCUUGCUGAGUCAGUCCCUUUAUCAUUAUAUAAUGACCUUAAUCUCUUUGUAGUUUUUGACUUAAAGUCUGUUUUAUCUGAUAGAAAUAUAGCUACUAUCGCUCA
rnacentral:lncRNA from 1 species